CAGGAUGAUUAUUGGGCCUAAAGCAUCCGUAGCCGGCUCUGUAAGUUUUCGGUUAAAUCUAUACGCUCAACGUAYAGGCUGCCGGGAAUACUGCAGAGCUAGGGAGUGGGAGAGGUAGACGGUACUCGGUAGGAAGGGGUAAAAUCCUUUGAUCUAUUGAUGACCACCUGUGGCGAAGGCGGUCUACCAGAACACGUCCGACGGUGAGGGAUGAAAGCUGGGGGAGCAAACCGGAUUAGAUACCCGGGUAGUCCCAGCUGUAAACUAUGCAAACUCAGUGAUGCAUUGGCUUGUGGCCAAUGCAGUGCUGCAGGG
rnacentral:rRNA from 1 species